GGCCGUGUGGUGUAGUGGUAGCAUACUUGCUUUGGGUUCCCAAACUUGCAAGUGGUCCCAGGUUCAAGCCCUGGCUCGGCCC
rnacentral:tRNA from 1 species